rnacentral:lncRNA from 1 species
GCAAACACAUUGUUGCCGAAUUUGGCUCACCGUUUCAGAGAAGCAACUAGGGGAGGUGCAAGCUCCUCAUCCUCUGUCCCCAACCGCACAAACAUACCUGACCCGCUUUUUGUGCAAGUUGUUCGCCAUGCUCUCACUAAUGCACAAGCAAACCCGAGUCAUUUCCAACAACAAUUGGAUAAUGCAGAGUUGGAAGGUNGCCAUGCUCUCACUAAUGCACAAGCAAACCCGAGUCAUUUCCAACAACAAUUGGAUAAUGCAGAGUUGGAAGGUCUUGCUAGGAACCUUCUCGAGGUUUCUAAUCCGGAGAGUCAAGGCACCUUCAACUCUAUUUUCUUCAGGGAGGUUGUGAACGUUGUCACGACAAUCAUGACCGACAUUUGCAACAAAUACGAGGCUGGAACCCAAGCUGUAAGUAGAUAAGUGUAAAAUUUGCAACAAAUAUAUAUAUGUUACUUGAUAUUGUUACUUGAUACUUGAUAUUUGCAACAAAAAUAUAUAUGUUACUUGAUAUUGUUACUUGAUACUUGAUACUUGAUAUUUGCAACAAAUUUGCAACAAAUAUAUAUAUGUUACUUGAUAUUGUAUAAUUUGUUUUGAACUGAAUUAAGAUUGUAAUUUGCAAUUUAUAAGUUAUUGAUGGUUUGUGGAUAUAAAUGGCAAUGAAAAUGAAACUUUUUUGUGUGUGUAUAUAUAUAUAUGUGUGUGUGUGUGCGCGCGCGCGCGCAGUGUAUGUAUAUGUUUCAUGUCUAUAUAAAUAUUAUAGUACUAAAUUUUCUAAUUUAGUGUGCAUAUAGAUCGACAUAUAUGGUGAUGGCAUAUAAAUUUUUAAUUAUUGCAGGCAAUUGCGGAGGCAACUAAGGAUAUCACCGAUGGUGAGAGUUCGGAGAAUGACAUUGAUGGGGAUGAUGAUGGUGAUGGCGAUGAGGAAGAUUGAAGUGAAGCUACCUAGCUAGAUGCAUUAUUGGUAGGGAUGCUGAUUUUGUUAAAACAUUGCUUUUGGCUUUUGAUUGUUCAGCUGUAACGUAUAUGAUUGUUGGCUUUUGUUGGCUUUUG